rnacentral:rRNA from 1 species
GUAGUUAGCCGGGGCUUCCUCACAGGGUACCGUCACUUCUUCGUCCCCUGCGACAGAGGUUUACAAUCCGAAAACCUUCUUCCCUCACGCGGCGUUGCUGGGUCAGGCUUGCGCCCAUUGCCCAAUAUUCCCCACUGCUGCCUCCCGUAGGAGUCUGGACCGUGUCUCAGUUCCAGUGUGGCCGAUCAGCCUCUCAGCUCGGCUACCCAUCGUCGGCUUGGUGGGCCGUUACCUCACCAACUACCUAAUGGGACGCGAACCCCUCUUGGAGCGAUAAAUCUUUGACCUCAUCCCGAUGUCGGGUCGUGGUCUUAUGCGGUAUUAGCACUUGUUUCCAGGUGUUAUCCCCCACUCCAAGGCAGGUUGUUCACGCGUUACUCACCCGUUCGCCACUAAGUUAUCAACCGAAAUCAAUAACUCCGUUCGACUUGCAUGUGUUAGGCACGCCGCCAGCGUUCGUCCUGAACCAAGAUCAAAUUCUGA